AGUUGUGUAAGAGAGCUCUCUUCAGUCCACUCAUAGGUAGUGGUCAGAUUCAAUUUGCUGCCGACUCAUUCAUCCAUGUACCCAAGUUAGUAAGAUGAUCAAAUUACUUGGUAAAUGAAUGAAUGAUCCGGGAGAUUAAUUGGAUCUUAUGCUUCUUAUACUUGGACUGAAGGGAGCUCCCUACUUAACUACA